AUUCAUCUUCCCCACCACGCCCAGACGAACUCGAAUUCCCCCGUACCCAGGCGAACCUUGCCCGCAAUGCUGCCUCUUCACACCGGGGACGACGCGCGCGAGGCGGCCGCGCUCCUCGAGGGGAGCGACCCCGCCGGCCGCCGCCGCCGCUCCUCGCCGGUGCUGUCCGCGUCCCCGAGCCCCCCGGGCUGGGAUGGUGGUGGCCUCAGGAGGCAGUCGUCGUUCUUCCGCCAGGACGUCGCCCACGCCGCAUCCGAGACGUACCUCGUCACGCGCCUCACCUUCAGCCUCCUCCGGUACCUUGGGUUAGGUUACCGCUGGAUGAAGCAGCUUCUUGCCCUCGUGGUCUAUUCUAUAUUAAUUAUGCCAGGUUUUUGGCAAGUUGCGUACUACUAUUUCUAUUCAAGUCAAGUUCGUAGAAGUAUUGUUUAUGGAGAACAACCAAGAAACAGGUUGGAUUUGUAUAUACCCGAAGAUAGUAGCAGACCCUGUCCUGUGAUGGCCUUUGUAACUGGUGGGGCCUGGAUUAUUGGUUACAAGGCCUGGGGUGCCCUUCUUGGCAGGCGGUUGGCGGAGAGAGGAAUCAUAGUUGCUUGCAUUGAUUACAGAAAUUUUCCGCAAGGAACAAUAACCGACAUGGUUAGUGAUGCUUCCGAGGGGAUUUCAUUUGUGUGUAACAACAUUGCUAGCUAUGGAGGUGAUCCUAAUCAGGUCUACUUGAUGGGUCAGUCAGCAGGAGCACAUAUUGCAGCAUGUGCCCUUAUGAAGCAGGCAGUAAAAGAAUCUAGCGGGCAACCCGUUUCUUGGAGUGUUACACAAAUCAAAGCAUACUUUGGUUUAUCUGGAGGAUACAACCUUCAUAAUUUGGUUGACCAUUUCCAUCAGCGUGGUUUGUAUCGUUCAAUAUUUCUCAGCAUAAUGAACGGAGAGGAAUCUUUGUCGUCUUAUUCUCCUGAAAUUAUCGCCAAGGAGUCAAGUCCUCAGACCGUAGCUCUACUACCUCCUAUUUUCCUUAUGCAUGGAGCAGCUGAUUAUUCAAUACCAUCAUCUUCCAGUCAAACUUUUGUAGAUGUCCUUCACCAAGCUGGUGCUCAGGCCAAGUUAUUAUUGUAUGAAGGGAAAACACAUACAGAUAUAUUUGUACAGGAUCCUCUUAGAGGUGGAAAUGAUCCUUUGGUUGAAGAUGUCCUGUCUCGUAUUGAAGCUGAUGAUGUAACCUGUGGAAUUAUAGCUUCGGCGCCUACUCCAAGGCGCCUGGUUUUUGAGUGGCAAUUGAGAUUGGCCCGUUGGAUUAGUCCCUUCUAAUAGGCAACACCAUGCAGACGAUGAAUUCCAUAGGAUUUCAGGCGAAUUUUGCAUCAUAUAUUUGCCAAUUGAACCCGAACAAAAGUACAUAAAGUGGGAAAGGGCACUGAAACAUCAGGCAGGAUUAAGAUGAAGCGGAUGGUCGCGGCCAUCUCCAACCACCUGCAAUUCGAUGUGUAUGACCUCGACAUCGGCGGCGGCAGGUCCAACACCGAGCUGGGGAAACUGCUGGUCUGGAUGAAGAACAGGUCCAUAUUGUUGGUCGAGGAUGUCGAUUGCGCCCUUACCACGGAGCCGUGGAGGGAUGUGGAUGGAGAAGGCCGGGAGCAGCCUGGCUUCCAAGAAUCACAAGGUCACUCUGUCCGGGCUGCUCAACAUGGACGGCCUCUGGUCCAGUAGCGGCCACGAGCGCAUCCUCAUCUUCACCACGAACCACAAGGACCGGCUGGACCUGGCGCUGUCCGGCCGGAUGGAUAUGCACGUCUACAUGGGCUACUGCAGCUUCG